AAGAAUUCAGAGGCUCAGUUUUUCACUGAACUUCACACCGACAAGCUGUGCAUCAGACGUGUUAAGGUGAAGAGUCAUCAGCACAUAGGGUGAAAUUCUCACCAAGAGUAAAUGCAAAUUUAAUCAGCAAAACCACUGAACAAUGGACUUCAAGGCUGACUAAUUAGGGCUGGGCUAUGAGUGAAUUACAUGUGUACAGUAUUUCACAAAGCAGAAGGGCUGUCCAUCUUCACUGAAGACUUGAGUUUGCUCCUCAUAUUCAAGACACUUCACUCUGUUUUGUUCCUAUUCUUAUUCUGCUCCUGCUUGAUUUUUUUUGCUUGGUUAUUAUAACAUUGUGUUCUUAACUGUAUUUUGUGUUACUGGUGUUUUCUUCCUUGUUUCCUUAGUUGUUUUUCAGCAUUGUCCUUCCUGCAUCUUCCUGAUAGAUCUGCUUUACUGAGUAAUGGAUCCCAUUCCAUAAUAAAUUCUAAAGGAACUACCUUUUCUGCCCUGUCUGCAAGAAGACCUGGGAUUGCCGGUCAGUGCAUCUGCACAGAGUCUGCAUGAAGACAGAUCCUGAAGAAGCCAUUGAAACAGCAGUGGAGCGGGCAACGGUGGAAACGCGUGUGCUUCUGGCAAUAGGCAGGGUCAUUAAUUACGACCGGCUGUGUCAGAUUUUGGGCUCUGCUGACCCAAUCAGCAGGCUGAUUGAGGAACUGGAGAGUCGCUUUUUGGUGGUGACAGGUGUGCCCCCACCACUACCUCCUACCAGUGCAAGGGCGGAGCCUUCCUCCUCCAGAGCCACACAGCCAACAGGGUUGGACAGCGAACAGUCAGAGAACUCCUCAGUCAACGGUGGCAGGAGCAGCGGUGAGAGCAGUGGCGAGACCUUUCAAUGUAACCCUGGUGUGCAGUGGACCAAUCCGGCAAGAAAGCUAAUGGCAGAGAAAACGCUUUAUCGACCAUGCAUUGCUGAAGGGUUGUUUUUUUUUUAAUUUUUGUAGAAAGACCUUCAAAAUGAGAACCCUAAACAGGAGGCGAGGACUACCAUAAAAACAUUUUAGAGUUUAUUAAAAGUUUGAUAUCCAAGAAAAAUAUUUUCACACUGCAGAAUAGUUAUUAUGACAGUUGUGUCAGGGCCGCCAAAGGAGACUUCCUGGCCAUCAAUCGGAAGCUGCUCUCAGAGAAACAGUUGGCCACUGACGAGUGCUUGGAUUUAUGUAUGAGAUAUGUACUAUCUCCAGGCACUGGUCAUACUGAAGCACCUCCAAUGACCAGGCCAUGGUGAAGCACAUGACACAGUUUGGGAGUGGCUGAACAAGACCACUAUCUUGGGACACACAGUUGUGGGUGUCAAGGAGCACAAGACAAGUACUCAACAAGUGGGCACAUUUGCCCUUUCUCAGGAGGAGGAUACUUGGUUUGAGCUGUACUACACGUGUGCAGCCACAACUCCAGUCCUGCAUCAAGCAGUGGAAGAAGGAAGAUACGGAUGAGACUAAAGACAGAUUCUUUAUCUCAUCCACGAGUGGAAGAAUAUACAAUCCCUCCAAUGGCUGCACAUAAGGUAUGGCAUCAAACGAUGGGUGAACAGCCAGAGAGCACACCGGGCCUUUGAGACAGCCACCAAGAGUCUGACUGACACAGAAGUCUCUGGUGGCUGACUACGCAACACAUUCAACUGCUACAGCGGAGAAACAUUACCGCAUGAAGCAAGCGGACAAUGUAGUGAGGGCUAGUCAGCUCCUGGAUUUGCUGGCUGGUCAGUCGAGCACUGAUUCUUCAGAAGGGGAAUCCAGCCGCACUGUCCGUAGCAUUGCUCACAGUGCUGCCCAGGAGAAAGCAGACAUGACAGAUCUGUAAAUAGAUUUUGAGGCAGCGUACAGCCGGCUUGUCGAACAGCACCCGGUGACUCUGGAGGGUGAGCCGCCAGAUAAGACUCUGGGCAUUGAAAUCUCAGCUAGCUUUAAACGGAAGCUUUAUGAGCUAUGGUUGAAGGCACAGAUGAAACUGUGCAAGCAGCAUAUUCACUUGUGCUUUGGCCCUCGUCUACCCAGUGAGGAAAAGGUCAACAAGUGGAUCUUUGAUCGGGGUUGGAGGAUCAACAUACCCAAGACAGCCCAGUUCAUUAACCUCUUUUACCGGUAGCCGAAAAAUGGCAUUUUUGUCUGUUUUGGGGGUACCUGUGUUCAGCAUUGAUUUGUUUUGUGAUCUUACACCACAGUAGUGGUUAAUGGCUCAUAUGAAAGUGGAUACUUUAAUACUUAAGAAUUAUCAGUUAUUUCAAAUAUUUCUUCUUUGACCUAACCUACCUGGGGAAAUAUAUUCAGAAUUUUAAUUUUUUUUUUUUUUUUACUUUUAACACAAAUGUUGUAUCUGCACAGCAAAUUAUAUCAACCCCAUUCCUGGUCUCAAAGAUGCACCAAGUACUUGUCCAUGAACACCCAAAAUAUGAGGAAGUUAUCUCUAACCUCUAAAAUUGUGUGUAAGGUUAUCCAAACACAGGUAAAAAAACCUCUCUAAAUGGCACAAAGCCUUUAAAUAUCGCAGCCUUCUGGAAAUAGCAAACUUUUUUUUUUUUUUUUUUUUUAUAAGGCACAAAACCUCUCCAAAUGGCACAAAAUGAAAACAAAUGGCAGUAGCAUGAACUCUGUUACACAAUCUGUUAUUUCACACCGACAAAAAGAGUCUGAAAGAUACUUAUAAAAUAUAAUGUUUAUUAAAAAUAGUGCCAGAGCCCCCAGGUGAAGGAGUACUUGCUCUCUGAAUGGCUCAAAUGAUAGACACACGAGUGACUUCUCUGGGGUGAUAGAGCCCCUCAACUCAAUCCACACAGUCUUCCCAAAAAAAAAAAAAAAAAAAAAAAAAAAAAAGAGCCACUCAGAAAUAACUGCUCCAGAAGCAGUGACGCAUUCAGGCUUUUUCGGGAGUGCGCCGCCGCUAUAAGACGCCGAUAAAUCGCACGCUGAGUGAGAACCAGAAGAAAAAUAUCAGAAUCAGAAAUAACUGCCAAACAUGCAAAAACCUGCUGUGUAAAGUUUUGCAGGAAGCCCACUAGAGCGGUGCUGCCAUUUCCUGAUAGUUUCUCUGCACAGCCCUGUAGCGCUGUGCUGAUUGGCCUGUACUGCUGACACACAACUCAAGAUGCAUGCGUAAAAUGUUUGGUUGUGCUGAUUACGAGUUUGAUUUUCUCAGCCUCUGAGUGGUCAAUCAUGUAGAGUUUGGGCUUGUUUGAAAGCUAGAACUAUCUACAAUUGGUCCAUGUGGGUGUCAAUCAAGUUAGACUGCCCGUUUAUAAUUUAGGAGGUGGAUUGUUCAGCAUAGCCAAAGCAGAUUAGCUUUUUUUUUAGAUGGUGUCUCAGUUCAGUUUAUGACUAAUUACUAUAUUCCAGAGGGGUGGGAUACCAAAACACUUAGUGCAUUUUGAAGAGGACAUUUGUGACCAUAUAUGGAACUUUGCAUUUGUUUUCGUCAAUAAAGCUGAUGGACUUUAUACCGAUGGAAAUGUGCACGAUUUAUAAAACCGCGAGCGAAAUGGAUUUUCGUCUAUUUAGGUAAUGUAAGGUAGUAAAUGUUUAUACAAGUCCGAUCUUUGGUUUAAAUGUUUUAAUUUUAUUGUGGCAGUUGUAUACAGUGUUUUACUAUCAGAAAAUCUUUAGUCGUGCUCUGAUUUAUCUCUGUCUCAAUGUUUUCGUGGAGAGGUGUGAAUUGUUUGCCCAGCAGCGAGCUCAAACUCUAUCCCUUUCCCAUCCCCCUGCUCACCAGCAGAUAAGCACACAGAAAGCCACAAGUGUCCUGACUAAUCUUGUACCAGAACUGCAGUGAUGCAAUAGUUCAUUUGUUUAUACCAAUUGAAAAUGUCCGAUAAGUCAUUUUCCAUUCCGCCGGUGGAAUGAACGCUAGUGUCGGGGCGAAAGGGGUUAAAGAAUGGAAGCCCCCUGGAUCCGUGAACACAGCAACAGAUGCUGAACAAAUCCGGAGCCUCACCAGGACCCAAAAGUGGAAAGGACUUCUUGUGACGGAAGUUGCAGGGAAGGGCAAGGGUGUCAUUGCAACGCGAAGAUUUCUGGCUGGUGAGGUGGUGUGUGACUACCAUGGGCAGGUCGUCACAGCCUCAGAGGGAUACAGCACUCAGUGUGGAGGAUGAUGUUCACAUGUUUUUUUUUAAAAACACGGAAAGUCCAUGUGCACAUUCGCCUUGCUGUGAGUGCAAUCCUAACCAACAGACUUUUAGGCGGUUGAUCAAUCACUCAAGGAAACGUUGUGACCUGAGGCCCAGAGCAUACAUGUCAAAACGGGGAGGAAAAGAACAAUUAUUUUCCUGGCAACAAGAGACACUGGGGUCAAUGAAGAACUUUUUUUUUUUUUUUUUUUUUUAAAAUGGUGAAAUCUUUUAUAGCAAAGGGUUUAGACCUCAUUUGGUUAUAAGUGUGUAAAUACAUGUGUAAAUGUGUGCAAAUACUCCUCUGUAAAUAAAUUGUUUAUGUGCAUGAGUGCAUAAAUAAAAUGA